UUUACCCACCUAGUCGACGCGUUACUCAUUAAGGGAGGUAAACUAUUAAAUGCAUUCACCAUCACAGCUUACACGGCAUUUAUGUGCAACCGAGUAAACUUAAACAGAAGGUCGUCGUCAUCGAACAGUGUCACUGUAUCGUUCAAACCAAAUAUAAGUAAACGAUUUGACUCGCUGGAUAGUUUACUUAACAUUUAUCUGCCAUAAGAUUGCUUGUAUAAUGUCGCAAAUGCCAAAAGUCUUUCGCAUAGCGGAUAAUGCAUCUGCGUGAUUACAUUAGAUUGGCAAUAGCGAGGCAACCUCAUCCUGCGGGUUAUUCCAGCCAGUUAUUCCGACCAACCCGCAAUGUCUGCCAUCGCUGUCGUUGUUUGAGUACACGGUAAAAAAUGGGCACGUUUAUUUCAAAGGAUUCUGCAUUUAACUCAAUUCGUAACAAAGCACUGCGAAUUGAAGUGAAUGCGUAUUGAUUUUCAAGUGAUGCACAUUUUGCAGUGAAGUGAUCCUUAGUUGAAACUUAUACAAAAGAAAUCACCUCCAAGUUGCAAUGCAUAUCCCUUGAAUUAGCACCACUGUUUUAAUCCUUUGCAUUUGUAUUGUUUUGCACGCUGUAAAUGUCAAAACAAAACGAAGAUGGCGAACCAAAUAAACACGCUUCAAACGCAGACAAAUAUUUUUCUGGAUGAGGUCAUAUUUAUUCUAGAGCAAUACAGAAUUGAUCUUACGGACACGACAGCGGCAAUAAACUUAUUAACCGUACUCAAUAAUGCUUCCAUCCAAGAAACCGACGAGGAGAUUGUGGUCAUUUUUAACCCGUCGAAAACAUUAGACUUGUGUAAUUCAAACGGAUGACAAGGUUCUGGCCGAUGCUGAUCUAAAGGUACUGUAUAACUUUCUGAUGAAGAUUAUUUGUAGUUAUAAGGUUUAAUAAGAUAAUAAA